UGUCUCAGUUCGGAUUGGAGUCUGCAACCCGACUCCAUGAAGCUGGAUUCGCUAGUAAUCGCGCAUCAGCCGCGGCGCGGUGAAUACGUUCCCGGGCCUUGUACACACCGCCCGUCAAGCCAUGGAAGCCGGGGGUGCCUGAAGUGCGCUGCCGCAAGGAGCCGCCCUAGGGUAAAACCGGUGACUGGGGCUAAGUCGUAACAAGGUAGC
rnacentral:rRNA from 1 species